GGCCUCGUGGCCCAAUGGCAAGGCGUCUGACUACGACCAGUUAAUUCAGAUCACCUGAUCUGAAUAGCGGCCGAUCAGGAGAUUCUCGGUUCGACCCCGGGCGAGGUCA